rnacentral:tRNA from 1 species
GGGCGCAUAGCUCAGCGGUAGAGCGCUGCAUUCACAUUGCAGAGGCCCCAGGUUCAAUCCCUGGUGCGCCCA